GUCCCCAGGUGGGAGCGUCCCCAGGCCCCUCCCCCACCUCGGGGGGCUCCUCCUGGCCACCACAGCCCUGGCAGUGGCCACCGGGACCUUCUGAGCCACGAGGCCACCAAGGUCACCGAGGUCACCGAGGUCCCUGUGGCCACCAAGGUCACCGAGGUCACCAAGGUCACUGCGGCCACCAAGGUCACCGAGGUCACCGAGGUCCCUGUGGUCACUGUGGCCACCAGGACCCUCUGAGUCAUGAGGCCACCAAGGUCACCGAGGUCACUGAGGCCACUGCGGCCACCAAGGUCACCGAGGUCCCUGUGGUCACUGUGGCCAUGACACCGAGGUCACUGCGGCCACCAAGGACACCGGGACAUCCUGAGUGACAAGGCCACCACCGUGGUCACUUUGGCCACCACCGAGGCCACUUUGGCCACCACAGCCACUCUGGCCACCACGAGCACUGGGGUCACCAAGGCCACCAGGACCCCCUGAGCCACAAGGCCACCACCAAGGCCACCACUGUCACUGUGGUCACUUUGGCCACCGUGGGUACUGGGCCACUGGAGUCACUACUGUCACCAUGGCCAUUGUGGCCACUGUGGCCGCUGUGACCACUGAGGCCACCAUGGCCACCAAUGCCACCAUGGCCACCGUGGUCACUGUGGCCACCAAGGCCACCAAAGCCACUGUGGCCACCAAGGCCACCAUGGCCACCAUGGUCACCACGGCCACCAAGGCCACCACGGCCACCAAGGCCACCAAGGCCACCAAGGCCACUGUAGCCAUCAAGGCCACCGUGGUCACCAAUGCCACCAUGGCCACCAAGGCCACUGUAGCCACCAUGGUCACUGUGGCCACCAUGGCCAGGACAAGGGGACAGAGCCAUGGUUGCCACCAGGACAGGGGACAGGUGACAGGGGUCAGGUGACAGGGGACAGGUGACAGGUGACAGGACAGGACAGGGGGUGGUGGCCGCGGUUCUUCGCUUUUGGGGAUUUUUUAUGUCCCCUUCCCAAUAAUUUUAAUUCUUGCGGAUAAUUAAACUGGAUUUGCCUCAAUUAAAAAAUGAUCCUCUCACUUUGACCCAAAUUAAAGGAUUUGGGGUCCGGUUUAUUUAAUUUAGACCCAAAUUAAAGGAUUUGGGGUCCGGUUUAUUUGAUUUAGACCCAAAUUAAGGGAUUUGGGGUCCGGUUUAUUUGAUUUAGACCCAAAUUAAGGGAUUUGGGGUCCGGUUUAGGGGAUUUAGACCCAAAUUAAGGGAUUUGGGGUCCGGUUUAGGGGAUUUAGACCCAAAUUAAGGGAUUUGGGGUCCGGUUUAGGGGAUUUAGACCCAAAUUAAGGGAUUUGGGGUCCGGUUUAGGGGAUUUAGACCCAAAUUAAGGGAUUUGGGGUCCGGUUUAUUUGAUUUAGACCCAAAUUAAGGGAUUUGGGGUCCGGUUUGGGGGAUUUAGACCCAAAUUAAGGGAUUUGGUUUCAGGGAUUUCAACCUGAAUUGAAGGUUUUAGCCCUGAAUUAAAGGAUUUUGAUCAUAAUUAAGGAAUUUCAACCUGAAUUAGGAGUUUUCAGCCUGAAUUAAGGGAUCUCAAUCUGAAUUAAGAGAUUUAAACGAGAAUCUAGUGAUUUAAACACGAAUUAAGUGAUUUAAACCAGAAUUAAGUGAUUUAAACCGAAAUUAAGUGAUUUAAACCAGAAUUAAGUGAUUUAAACCCGAAUUAAGCGAUUUAAACCCGAAUCAAGUGAUUUAAACCCAAAUUAAGCGUUUUAAACCUGAAUUAAGCGAUUUAAACCCGAAUUAAUUGAUUUAAACCCCAAUUAAGCGUUUUAAACCCGAAUCAAGUGAUUUAAACCCAAAUUAAGCGAUUUAAACCCGAAUUAAGCUAUUUCUGGGCCGGUUUAAGGGGUUUUGGCCAUUUUGGAGGUUCGGGGGG
rnacentral:lncRNA from 1 species